GAUGAACGCUAGCGAUAGGCUUAACACAUGCAAGUCGAGGGGCAGCAUGGUCUUAGCUUGCUAAGACUGAUGGCGACCGGCGCACGGGUGCGUAACGCGUAUGCAACUUGCCUCACAGAGGGGGAUAACCCGUCGAAAGACGGACUAAUACCGCGUACACUCUAUUUUGGGCAUCCAAGGUAGAGGAAAUGAAAUUCGCUGUGAGAUAGGCAUGCGUCCCAUUAGCUAGUUGGUGAGGUAACGGCUCACCAAGGCGACGAUGGGUAGGGGAACUGAGAGGUUGAACCCCCACACUGGUACUGAGACACGGACCAGACUCCUACGGGAGGCAGCAGUGAGGAAUAUUGGUCAAUGGGCGAGGGCCUGAACCAGCCAAGUCGCGUGAAGGAUGACUGUCUUAUGGAUUGUAAACUUCUUUUGUAGGGGAAUAAAGAGGGGCACGUGUGCCCCAGUGAAUGUACCCGACGAAUAAGCAGCGGCUAACUCCGUG
rnacentral:rRNA from 1 species